GUGGGGAAUAUUGGACAAUGGGGGGAACCCUGAUCCAGCCAUGCCGCGUGUGUGAAGAAGGCCUUUUGGUUGUAAAGCACUUUAAGCGAGGAGGAGGCUCCUUUAGUUAAUACCUAAAGAGAGUGGACGUUACUCGCAGAAUAAGCACCGGCUAACUCUGUGCCAGCAGCCGCGGUAAUACAGAGGGUGCGAGCGUUAAUCGGAUUUACUGGGCGUAAAGCGUGCGUAGGCGGCUUUUUAAGUCGGAUGUGAAAUCCCUGAGCUUAAAUUAGGAAUUGCAUUCGAUACUGGAAAGCUAGAGUAUGGGAGAGGAUGGUAGAAUUCCAGGUGUAGCGGUGAAAUGCGUAGAGAUCUGGAGGAAUACCGAUGGCGAAGGCAGCCAUCUGGCCUAAUACUGACGCUGAGGUACGAAAGCAUGGGGAGCAAACAGGAUUAGAAACCCUGGUAGUCC
rnacentral:rRNA from 1 species